UACGAAGGGGGCUAGCGUUGCUCGGAAUCACUGGGCGUAAAGCGCACGUAGGCGGAUCUUUAAGUCAGGGGUGAAAUCCCAAGGCUCAACCUUGGAACUGCCUUUGAUACUGGGGAUCUCGAGUCCGGAAGAGGUUGGUGGAACUGCGAGUGUAGAGGUGAAAUUCGUAGAUAUUCGCAAGAACACCAGUGGCGAAGGCGGCCAACUGGUCCGGUACUGACGCUGAGGUGGCGAAA
rnacentral:rRNA from 1 species